rnacentral:tRNA from 1 species
GUGAGUUUGGUCUAGUGGUUAAGGCACCAGGCUAGAAAGCUGGAAGUUGUAAGUUCAAGUCCUGUCUUAUC